AGACAAUUUAAAGAGAAUACAGAAAAGUUGGAGAUAUUCAGGAGGGCUUAGAUUCGUUUGGCCCCAAGUGAAAACUUAUCGUCAUGUAUCUAUUACCCGAGACAUAAAUGUAAAUACAAGAUUGAAGUUGAUAAAAGCGUCCUUGCCAAAAGUUGUAUCGUCCCAGGUUCCAGAGAUGAAGAAAAACACCUUAGCAUCAGUCAGUGGGUAGCAAACUAGAUUUGGGUGAGUUUGACAAGCAUGUAAAUGUUUCAGUGAGAGGGGUCUUCAGAUUAUAUGGUUGAUUUUUACCUCUGUAUAUGAUUAGGAGAGUGAAAGGUUUCUUCCAACCAAAUGCAUUCUUGGGCGAUUGAAGGAGUGCCAUAGGUCUUGGCACAAGCUGUCCAGGAACAACCGUUAGGCAGCUGACUUCAAUAUGCAAAACUGGUGCUUCCUUGUGUGGCCUUAAAGUAUAGACUUCAUAUUUGGAGUCUGAGGCAGAGGGGUGGCAAAUUCAAUGCCAGCCUGGACUCCUGAGUGAGUUCAAAACCAGGCAGGGCAACUUGAAGAGAUCCUGUCUCAAAGUAAAAAGACUUUUGGUUUGGUUUGGUUUUUGUUUGUUUGUUUGUUUAUGAGCUUAUGAGCUUGAUGAUAUAGCCCCAGGAUAGAAUACUUGCCAAACAUGUGCCGCCCUAUGGUCCUUUCCCAGUACUGUAUAAUCAACUAAUCAACAAAGUAAUGCUCCUUUUCUUUUUCCUUUCUUUUCCUCUAGCAUGCAGAGGCUAGAAGAAACAGCAGGGUCCCGCUUUAUCACUGGAUCUCAUUGACCCUAGAGCUGGGCUGCAAGUUCAGUAAGCCCCAAGCCCCAGUGAUCCUCCUGUCUCCCUGCCUCUUCCCCUUCCAAAGCUGGGGUUAACGAUGUGCUGGUAGCCUCAGCCCACUUUUUAACUGGGAUCUGAACUCAGGUCAUAGUUGUUGCACAAUGAACGCUCACGUGCCCUGAGCCUUCUCUCAAGCCCUGAGACUCUUAAGAAUUAAUGGGUGUGCUUUCCCAGACUUAGUGUUUAUUUCUCUAUCUGGGCUGUUGUUUUAGAAUAGGUUCUGGCAAUAAAUAAGUACUCUCCAAAAAUAAGUCA
rnacentral:lncRNA from 1 species